rfam:Aedes aegypti strain Liverpool supercont1.329 genomic scaffold, whole genome shotgun sequence.
CAAACAGCCCUUUUCAGGGCCACGGAAUUAACGGAAUAGAGUUAUUU